rnacentral:ncRNA from 2 species
ACGGCACGACAGGGGAGCGCAGCAGCGCUGAGAGUGCGGCCGGCACGCGGCACGCAGACCCUCGAACCUGAUCCGGUUAGUACCGGCGAAGGGAGUCGAGAUCUCUCCUCC